rnacentral:rRNA from 1 species
AGUGAACGCUGGCGGUAGGCCUAACACAUGCAAGUCGAACGGCAGCACAGUAAGAGCUUGCUCUUACGGGUUGCGAGUGGCGGACGGGUGAGGAAUACAUCGGAAUCUACUUUUUCGUGGGGGAUAACGUAGGGAAACUUACGCUAAUACCGCAUACGACCUACGGGUGAAAGCAGGGGAUCUUCUGACCUUGCGCGAUUGAAUGAGCCGCUGUCGGAUUAGCUAGUUGGCGGGGUAAAGGCCCACCAAGGCGGCGAUCCGUAGCUUGUCUGAGAGGAUGGUUGCCCACCUGGGAACUUGGCCACCGACCAUGCUACUAAGGGACGGAGCAGACGGGAAUAUUGGGCAGCAGGGGGAAAUCUUAACCAAGCAGCGCAGGCCGGAUGAAGAAGCCUUCCGGGUGGGAAGCCGUUUUGUUGGGAAAGAAAAGCAGCAGGUUAAUACCAAGCUGUUCUGACGGUACCCAAAGAAUAAGCACCGGCUAACUUCGUG